rnacentral:rRNA from 1 species
AGUUAAAAAGCUCGUAGUUGGAUUUCGGAGUGGGCCAGUUGGUCCGCCGCAAGGUGUGUUACUGACUGGUUUGCUCUUCUUCGCAAAGACUGCGUGUGCUCUUCAGUGAGUGUGCGUAGGAUUUACGACGUUUACUUUGAAAAAGUUAGAGUGUUCAAAGCAGGCUAUUGCUUGAAUACAUGAGCAUGGAAUAAUGGAAUAGGACUUUGGUCCCAUUUUGUUGGUUUCUAGGGCCGAAGUAAUGAUUAAGAGGGACAAUUGGGGGCAUCCGUAUUUCGUUGUCAGAGGUGAAAUUCUUGGAUUUACGAAAGACGAACAACUGCGAAAGCACUUGCCAAGAGUGUUUUCAUUAAUCAAGAACGAAAGUUAGAGGAUCGAAGACGAUCAGAUACCGUCCUAGUUCUAACCAUAAACGAUGUCGACUAGGGAUCAGCGGGCGUUAUCGUACGACCCCGUUGGCACCUUACGGGAAACCAAAGUUUCUGGAUUCCGGGGGAAGUAUGGUUGCAAAGCUGAAACUUAAAGGAAUUGACGGAAGGGCACCACCAGGAGUGGAGCCUGUGGCUCAAUUUGACUCAACACGGGAAAACUUACCAGGUCCAGACAUAGUAAGGAUUGAC